AUUGAACGCUGGCGGCAUGCCUUACACAUGCAAGUCGAACGGCAGCACGGGAGCAAUCCUGGUGUCGAGUGGCGAACGGGUGAGUAAUAUAACGGAACGUGCCCAGUAGUUGGGGAUAACUGCCAGAAAGAGCAGCUAAUACCGCAUACGACCUGAGGGUGAAAGGGGGGGAUCGCAAGACCUCUCGCUAUUGGAGAGGCCGAUAUCAGAUUAGCUAGUUGGUGGGGUAAAGGCCUACCAAGGCAACGAUCUAUAGUUGGUCUGAGAGGACGACCAGCCGCACUGGGACUGGGACACGGCCCAGACUCCUACGGGAGGCAGCAGUGGGGAAUUUUGGACAAUGGGCGCAAGCCUUAUCCAGCAAUGCCGCGUGCAGGAAGAAGGCCUUCGGGUUGUAAACUGCUUUUGUCAGGGAAGAAAUCCUCUAGGUUAAUACCCUUGGGGGGAUGACGGUACCUGAAGAAUAAGCACCGGCUAACUACGUGCCAGCCGCCGCCGUAACAC
rnacentral:rRNA from 1 species